GGAAAGAUUUAUCGCCGAUAGAUCGGCCCGCGUCUGAUUAGCUAGUUGGUGAGGUAAUGGCUCACCAAGGCGACGAUCAGUAGCUGGUCUGAGAGGAUGAUCAGCCACACUGGGACUGAGACACGGCCCAGACUCCUACGGGAGGCAGCAGUGGGGAAUAUUGGACAAUGGGCGAAAGCCUGAUCCAGCCAUGCCGCGUGUGUGAUGAAGGCCUUAGGGUUGUAAAGCACUUUUGUCCGGGAAGAUAAUGACUGUACCGGAAGAAUAAGCCCCGGCUAACUUCGUGCCAGCAGCCGCGGUAAUACGAAGGGGGCUAGCGUUGCUCGGAAUCACUGGGCGUAAAGGGCGCGUAGGCGGACUCUUAAGUCGGGGGUGAAAGCCCAGGGCUCAACCCUGGAAUUGCCUUCGAUACUGAGAGUCUUGAGUUCGGAAGAGGUUGGUGGAACUGCGAGUGUAGAGGUGAAAUUCGUAGAU
rnacentral:rRNA from 1 species